rnacentral:tRNA from 1 species
GGGACUGUAGCUCAGAUGGUAGAGCGCUCGCUUAGCAUGCGAGAAGUACGGGGAUCGAUACCCUGCAUCUCCA